GUGCUCACUUAGGCAGCACACAGACUAAAACUGGAACAAUACAGAGAUUAGCAUGGCCCGCGUGCAAGGAUGACAUGCAAAUUCGGGAAGCAUUCUGUAUUUUU
ensembl:snRNA U6 U6 spliceosomal RNA